rfam:Treponema denticola ATCC 35405, complete genome.
GUUUAUCUGCCGAGUUUGCCUUUCGGCAAACGUCGCAUUAUUGUAUGCAGUUUGUAAACAAACUGCGUGAAAAAACUUUUUUCGCAAAUUGCUAUUUGCUACAAAAAGUUUUUAUGGGA